ensembl:snoRNA
AGGUCAUUUCAAAGAGGGCUGAUGGGACCAAAUCCUGGAGCCCUUAACGCUGUGACCAAAGACUGAAUUCUCCAUUGGAUAUAAUAGUCACUCGAUAGUGCUAUGUUUUCCUGAUGGAGAUACAAGC